CCCAACCCGCCCGUCCAAGUGGCAAUCCAAGUCGGCUGUCUAAAUACGAGCAAGCGAUUUGUGUGUCUAGUUGCUAGUUGGCAACAACGACUUUGUGCCGGAGCCAUGGCAAUAGCUGCCUCGCCAAUUGAGUUUAUGCCAAAUGAUAAUAUUCACCUGCAGCUUUCCGCUGGGAUAUCCGCAAUAAUGUAAUAACCUAAUUCCAUGGUACUAUAUUAUUCAUUUCACUGCACCCAGCCGACAGGAAUUUGAUGGAAUUUCCUGUAAACAGGCAGCUCGCAGCAGA